rnacentral:rRNA from 1 species
UGGGGAAUAUUGGGCAAUGGGCGCAAGCCUGACCCAGCAACGCCGCGUGAGGGAAGAAGGCUUUCGGGUUGUAAACCUCUGUCCUUGGUGACGAAAAAAAUGACGGUAGCCAAGGAGGAAGCCCCGGCUAACUACGUGCCAGCAGCCGCGGUAAUACGGAGGGGGCGAGCGUUGUCCGGAAUUACGGGGCGUAAAGGGUGCGUAGGUGGCCUUUUAAGUUGGCUGUGAAAUACCCGGGCUUAACUUGGGGGGGGCA